ACGGGAGGCAGCAGUGGGGAAUAUUGGGCAAUGGACGCAAGUCUGACCCAGCAACGCCGCGUGAAGGAAGAAGGCUUUCGGGUUGUAAACUUCUUUUAUCAGGGACGAAGAAAGUGACGGUACCUGAUGAAUAAGCCACGGCUAACUACAUGCCAGUAGCCGCGGUAAUACGUAGGUGGCGAGCGUUAUCCGGAUUUACUGGGUGUAAAGGGCGCGUAGGCGGGGAUGCAAGUCAGAUGUGAAAUCCAUGGGCUUAACUCAUGAACUGCAUUUGAAACUGUAUCUCUUGAGUGUCGGAGAGGUAGAUGGAAUUCCUAGUGUAGCGGUGAAAUGCGUAGAUAUUAGGAGGAACACCAGUGGCGAAGGCGAUCUACUGGACGAUAACUGACGCUGAGGCGCGAAAGCGUGGGGAGCAAACAGGAUUAGAUACCCUGGUA
rnacentral:rRNA from 1 species